rnacentral:rRNA from 1 species
AGAGUUUAUCCUGGCUCAGGAUAACGCUACGGCAGCUUAAACAUGCAAGUCGUGGGCAGCGCGGGUAGCAANCCUGGCGGCGACCGGCAAACGGGUGCGGAACACGUACGCAACCUUCCUUUAAGUGAGGAAUAGCCCAGGGAAACUUGGAUUAAUACCUCGUAACACUAUGAGAUGGCAUCAUCUUAUAAUUAUAGCUACGGCGCUUAAAGAUGGGCGUGCGGCUGAUUAGGUAGUUGGCGGGGUAACGGCCCACCAAGCCUACGAUCAGUAACUGGUGUGAGAGCACGACCAGUCACACGGGCACUGAGACACGGGCCCGACUCCUACGGGAGGCAGCAGUAAGGAAUAUUGGUCAAUGGACGCAAGUCUGAACCAGCCAUGCCGCGUGGAGGAUGAAGGUCCUCUGGAUUGUAAACUUCUUUUAUCUGGGAAGAAACCCAUGUUUUCUAACGGGUUGACGGUACCAGAGAAAAGCACCGG